CAACUGCUCGGUCAUAGCAUAUUCACCCUCUGUUGGAAUCCCUGUAACCUGAAAACAAUGUAAGUCUCUGUUUUGUCAGAUACCAGGCUCGGGGCUGUGGAGGGUCCCUUGCUUCAGCAUAGGGUAUCAGGAACUAGAGAAGGCACCUAUGUCUCUAUACUCACCUCAUUCACUUUCCCUCAACCAUUUCUUCUCCCAUAUCUGCUAAGGUGCCUUCAGGCAGGGGUGGCACAGGCAGGGGUGACACAAAGGCAGCCUAACAGCCUGAUGACACUUAUUUAGUGGCACAGGGUCCUCCAUGAAUUUCCACAGGCAAAGACCCUGGAGUGUCCCAUCCCACAACCCUGAGACCUGUGAAAAUGCACGGUGAAAGCUCAGGAUCGUAUAGCUCUCAGUGUCUCAGGGAGGUCCUCGAGGAUGACACAGCCCCAGAAAAGGAGACUCUGUGCGGGAAGGGUCUGCCGGCAAAGGCAUCUGUACUCCAGCUACCUUCAAAUGUCAUGCUGUCUAGGCUGAGGAGGUGGUUCAGGUUAAAUAUCCGAGGGAGAGGCUGCUGCUUCUCCCUAUAGGUCUGGGAAGCAGAAAGAUGAGCAACAUCCUGCAUUGGUACGACACAGAAAAAACUCUGAGCAACCUGCAAAUCUCAAUUGUCACCACACAGUUCCAGUCCAGUCUGCCCUCCUUCUGCCAGAGCCCAAGUUACUUGUCUGUUUUGACAACCAAACUCUGACUCCAACCUUCAGUGACUCCUGUCGAUAUUUCCCCCAUGGAACCCCAAAUACAACAGAGGAUGAAAGCUAUGGAGCCCUGACUAUGCAUACCACACAAGAAACCCCACGUGAAAGGACUGUUGCAACUUCCUGUCUUGCGCAUGAUGACGCUACUUUCUUGGUCCUAUGAGUCACCCCUUGUCACUGGGGCUCAGAAUUCAGCAAAGGAUUCCUUGUCUGGGUCGGGGACGAGGUUGAACAUCUCAUCAUGGAGAUAGUUCUGUGGAGAUGAUCUCUCAUACAGAUGAAUGUUGUAGACAACUAAAGCUAACCAGAUGCUGACAAGCAUCCUUUGCCUAUCAGAGCCAGUUGUCAAGAGGAGCGCCCAAGAUAACCUUAAAGAACACAUUCAGCCAGGGAAAUUUCUACAAAUAUUGCGCAUUUACAAGAAGUGGAAAAAUCAAUAAUGCUCUAGAAGAAUUGUUUACCCAGCCAAGGAGCCAAACAAAGAAGGUGGAGAAGUUUCUGAAAAAGGAAAGCUCUAAGUCUCCAGUAAAUGUAACAAGGAUUUUCUCCUUUUCAUUUCUGCCUUUGUCUGUUUCAUUGCAGUCAUAGGGAUAGGACUCUUGUCUAUACACCAGACACCAUAGGAUGUGCUUACAACAAUUGUCUUCUUUAAUUUAAUUCUCAUGGCAGUAUUAUGGUGUCAUGACCCUUAAUCUUCCCAUUUGACAAAUGAGGAAGAGAAACUCUCCAGAGGUGAAGAGAUGGGGUCUGAUCCCAAAGCCAGCAAGUGGCAAAGUUGAGGUUUCAGUUUCAGUUGCUAGAGGCAGAGUCUCAGGGGUUCUCAGCUCCUCAGCCUCCUGUGUGGUAUUUACUCAUACCUCCUGGUAUGCACUGUUCUGGGAGUUUUCAAGGUAUUGAUUUAUUUAAUCCCCAUAAAGCCUCAUGAGAUGCAAACUGGCACUUCCCACCUUGUUACAGUUGAAGAAACAGUCACCAAUUGUUUGUGCCACACAAUAUCAACAGAGUGGUUCAGUAGCUUGUCUAAGGUCACACAGGUAGUAAGUGUGAGAGUGGAAUUUGAACCCAGGUUAGAUGUUCUAUUCCUUUAAUGAAGAACAGUUGGAAAAUUGACAAGCUGCCCCACUGGGAGAAGUGUGUCCCAGUGUGAUUUUGCACACCUGGCAUACAUGUACCCCAGGUGGGUUGUUGCAGCAGCUCAGACCUCGGUACAACAGAAUUACUUUCAGAAAUAAUCAUGUCAUA